CGAUUCACUGGCAUACCAUCCUUUGUAGAUGUUCUACCUCUUCAAUUCCAUUUCUCCUCUCCUCGAUCUAUCUUUCUCUCAUAUCCAUUCGCCUAAAUCCUAAAUCUCGAGGCUCCCAGUAAGAGCGUUGUUCUUUGCUGGCUAAGAUUGAACUUCUUCAUCAUAUUUCUAUCGAAUCUGGCCACUUCAGUAGAAGAUCUACCAACCAAAACGGUCCUCUAUAACGAAAUUUGAGGAAACACAAAGGAAAAGAGGUGCAUGAUACUAAGAGAAAGGCUGAUGAUUUUGUAGGCGUGAGAUCUGUAUACUAAGGAAAAGGGAUGGAAAAGGAAGGGAAGAGUAGUAAAAGUAGAGUCAGAGUUUGUGCUGCAUAUUUGCGAGCUGUGCAUUAGUACCUCACAAACAUAUGAGGUUAGUAGAGUCAAAGUUUG